CUAACAACAAGCCUGCACAACAACAUGCUCGCGCACACCGCAACCAUAGAGAUAUACCGCGACACAUACCAGGAGAGUUGUGCUUCAUGUAGCUAUUACAGCAGGAUAAUUGUAUGCUUGCGUUGAAGAAGAGGUUAUACCAACCGAGGCCAAGUGCACUGAACUUACCCAUGCCUCGUUUGGGGCUCAAAUGUGGAGACCUCUCCUCUAGGGGACAACAUCACAAUGUAUUUUCAUAGAAUACUUAUGAUUGGCAAGAAAGGCGGCAGCUGACGAAAG